rnacentral:rRNA from 1 species
AUUGAACGCUGGCGGCAGGCUUAACACAUGCAAGUCGAGCGAGCGGCGGACGGGUGAGUAAUGUCUGGGAAACUGCCUGAUGGAGGGGGAUAACUACUGGAAACGGUAGCUAAUACCGCAUACCAUCGGAUGUGCCCAGAUGGGAUUAGCUAGUAGGGGGGGUAAAGGCUCACCUAGGCGACGAUCCCUAGCUGGGUUGAGAGGAUGACCGGCCCAACUGGGACGUAGACAGGGGCCCGACUCCUACGGGAGGCAGCAGUGGGGAAUAUUGCAAAAUGGGCGCAAGCCUGAUGCAGCCAUGCCGCGUGUGUGAAGAAGGCCGUCGGGUUGUAAAGCACUUUCAGCGAGGAGGCGUUACUCGCAGAAGAAGCACCGGCUAACUCCGUGCCAGCAGCCGCGGUAAUAC